rnacentral:SRP_RNA from 1 species
UCCAGGUGAUGCAAACCUAUAAUUCCUGCUACUAGGAGAAGAUGAGGCUAGUGAAUUGCUUGAGUUAAGGAGUUCUGAGUUUCAAUUCAUUUAAGCUGAUCAGGUAUCCACACUAAAUCCAGCACCAGCAUGGUGAGCCCCUCAAGAGCAGGAGGCUACCAACUUGCCUAAAGAGGGAUACUUCAGCUCAGAUCAGAAAUGGAGCAGGUCAAAGCUUCCACAACAAUCUGCAGUGGAGUUGGGUCCAUGAGUUGCUAUUGAAUUUCCAGCCUGAGUGAUAUAGGGAGGCCCAGCCUCA